rnacentral:rRNA from 1 species
UGAGCAAUCUGCCCUUCACAUCGGAAUAACCAUUGGAAACGAUGGCUAAUACCGAAUAUGACUUCGGAUCGCAUGAUCUGAAGUGGAAAGCUCCGGCGGUGAAGGAUGAGCUCGCGGCCUAUCAGCUUGUUGGUGAGGUAACGGCCCACCAAGGCGACGACGGGUAGCCGGCCUGAGAGGGUGACCGGCCACACUGGGACUGAGACACGGCCCAGACCUNUACGGGA